UUCAGGAUGGCCCAGCGGUUACGGCAUCGGUCUGCUGAUCCCAUUGACAGUUGUGUUCGUAGGUUCGAUUCCUGCUCCUGAAC